UGAUUACUGAGGCCAUGUACUGCUGUAAUACGAUGGUUGGAGUCGUUACGUGUAAUUACUGGGCUUACAGCGUGCGUAGCUGGGUGGUGAAGUCUGAUGUGAAAGCCCGGGGCGUAGCCUGGGGAUGGCAUUGGAUACGGGCAGACUAGAUUGCGGUAGAGGGUAGUGGAAUUCCCGGUGUAGCAGUGAAAUGCGUAGAGAUCGGGAGGAACAUCUGUGGCGAAGGCGACUACCUGGACCAGCACUGACACUGAGGCACGAAAGCGUGGGGAGCAAACAGGAUUAGAUACCCUGGUAGUC
rnacentral:rRNA from 1 species